AUGGCGGUGGCGUCGGGGCCCGCGGCCACGUUCUCCGCCCGCCCCGCGGCGCCGGGCGCCGGCCGGCUCUGCUCGUGCGCUGCCGCGGCCACCGGCGGGGCGAGGUUCCGCGGCGCCGACGGGAAGUGGUGGGCACCGCUGCUGGGUUGGUCGGGCCAGCCCGACUACAUCGACGCUCAGCCGGCGCCGGAGGAGGAGCGAGCUGCUGGUGCAGCAGGGGCGAGGCGGUUCGGGGUGCUGACGGAGGAGAAGGCGCGGCAGCUGCGGAUGCGGAUGAUGGAGACGGAGAGCUUCCACGACGCCAUGUACCACUCCGCCAUCGCCUCCCGCCUCGCCUCCGCCGCGCGCGACGGCGACGCCAAGCCGUAG
rnacentral:rRNA from 1 species